GGGCCACACCUGUGGCAUAUGGAAGUUCCCAGGCUAGAGGUUGAAUCAGAGCUGCAGCUGCCAGCCUACACCACAAUCACAGAAACACCAGAUCGGAGCUGCGUCUGCGGCCUACACCACAGCUUGCUAACACUGGAUCCUUAACUCACUGAUCAAGGCCAGGGAUAGAACCUGCAUCCUCAAGGAUACUAGGCGGGUUCAUUACGCUGAGCCACAAUGGGAACUCCCUCAAAUAACUCCUUAAAAUAACCCCACAGAUGCCCCCAGAGCCCACCACUUAGAAGUCAUUAACCUACCAGAAAAGUUCAAAUCAUUUUGAAGACGGGAGGUAAAAGGCACACAGAUUUGAAAAGGCUACAAAGCUGGGUUCAGAGCCAGGUCCCAUCACUUAUUAGCCAAAUACUCUCAGGCAAGGGCAUCAGUAGUGAGCAUUAUGCCUAUCCUAUGCAAUAACUGUAAGGACCGGAAAAAAACAGUGUAUAGAAGUACGAAGCAUAUGAGUUCAUUCCUCUCCAAUUAUUCAAAGCCUUUAUAAAAUGCAGCCCAAUCUACCGAUUUCCCUUCACUUCCUAUACCACCUCCAAGUUAAAAGCUGUGACAGUAUUGGAUGUGGUUUUAAGGAUGGAAAGUGAAAUCUGAGUAGCAGCACUGAAAGAUAAAACAAUUAGAGGUCAAAGUAUUAAGAGCAAGGUCUUUGUAAUCAUGCAGAAUUUGAUCUGAACCUCAGCUGUCAAUAGUCCACAUGACUUCAGCCAAGUCACUUAAGCAUUCUAAGCCUUGGUUUCCUCUAGUGUAAAACAGCAAUGAUGACACCACUCUCAUGGCUUAUUCUAAUCCAUUAAAUGAAAUGAUUCACAUGAAGCACUAGGCAAGUUGCCUGUGCAAUGAAACAGCUAGCAUACCUACUUGCUUUGCAUAAGCAGAGGAUACUAAAAUGGCUAGCCCACUUGGUUUGUACUCAAGUGUGAGCAAAGGUUACCCAAGGCUGGCCCCAGAGAUACUACAAUCUGUAGCCAAGCAAGAACUCAGACCCUGAGCCCGGCAUGUCAAGGAUCUUUAGAUACUGGGAUUCUGGACCAGUGAGGAAUAUUUAUCAGGUGAAAAUAGCUUUAAAAUCUUUAUUUUAAAUCCUUGUAUUGAACUAACAAUGAGGUACAACAAUUUAUGUGAAAAUGCUCUUUUUUAGUGCCGUACCUGAGGCAUAUGAAAGUUCCCAGGCUAGGGGUCAAAUUGGAGGUACAGCUGCCUGCCGACACCACAGCCACAGCAACAGGGGAUCUGAGUCUGCAACCUACACCACAGCCGACGGCAAUGCUGGAUCGAUAACCCAGUGAGCAAGGCCAGGGACUGAACCCGCAUCCUUAUGGAUACUAGUCAGAUUCAUUUCUGCUGCGCCACAACAGGAACUCCCUAUUUUUUUGAAAUACUGCUUAUAAUUUGUAAUUGGGUUAUAAGAAUAAAGUUUAAGUAAACAAAUUUAAGUCCUUUAUAAUCAAAGUAGGAUCACCCUUUUUUCAUUUAAACUUAAAACAUUUAAAUGUUUUCAAUAUGCUGAACUUAUUUUUUAAAUUUUAGAAGUUUCAGAGUAACUCCUGACAGAACAGAAUUUAGUUAGAGUAGUUCUCAACUAGGGUGAUUUUUUUACCCAUGAAAAUUUCACUAGGAGGAAAAGUUAGGAGUGAGGCGAAUAGUGGGUAGAGGCAGGAAUACUACUAAACAUCCUACCAUACACAAGACAGCCCCCACAAGGUGAAAUUAUCUGGCCCCAAAUAUCAAUAAUGCCAAGGCUAAGAAACCCUGUUUUUUGGAAGUAGGCAUUCAUAUUGUAAGAAAAAAAACACUAGACUCUUGCAAAAGAACUAGGAAUAUCAGUUUUCCCAGCAUCAUUUGUUGAAAAGAUUAUCUUUUCCCCACCAAAUGGGCUUGACAUCCUGAUCAAAAAAAAAACCAACUGACCAUAUAUAUGAGUUUACCUCUGGGCUCACCAGUCUGUUCCAUGUGUCUACAGGGCUCUACUUAGGCCAGUACCACACGGUUCUGACCCCUGUAGUUUUGUAAUAAGUCUUUUGAUUUGUUUUGUUUUUUUGCUUUUUUUUUUUUUUUUUUGGUCUUUUUGCUAUUUCUUUGGGCCGCUCCUGCAGCAUAUGGAGCCCAAGAAAUGGCAAAAAAGACAAAAAAAUAAAAAAAUAAAGUAUUAGUCCAGGACUUCCUGCGGUGGGGCAGUGGGUUAAGAAUCUGCCUGCAGUGCCUUGGGUCACUGCAGAGGUGCAAGUUCAAUCCCUGGCCCAGGAACUUCCACAUGCCAUGAGCAAGGCCAGUAAGUAUUAGUCCUAAGUAACAAAAAUGUCAGAAACAAAGGAAAGCAGAGGGAGGGGAAGGGUUGGGAACUGGGGAUUAGCAGGUGCAAACUAUUACAUAGAGAGUGGAUAAAAACAAGUAUAAAAACCAUAGAGUGCAGGGAACUAUAUUCAAUAUCCUGUCACAAACCAUGAUAGAAAACAAUAUAAGAAUGUGUGUAUGUGUGUAUAUAAAUAUACACCUAUAUAUGUGUAUAACUGAAUCACUUUGCUGUAAAUCAACUAUACUUCAAUAAAGUAAUUUUUUAAUGUAAAGCAAAUGAGAGCAUCUUCUGAUGUUAUCUAUUCCAGUAAAUAAGUGAAAAUAAUCAUCGAAGAAUGGGGACUGGAGGUUGAGGUAUAAUUCACAUAUAAAAUUCCCCAUUUUAAAGCAUAAAAUUCAGUGGGUUUUAGUAUAUUCACAAGGUUGUGCCACUAUCAUCAUUAAUUCCAGAACAUGUUCCAUCACCCCAGAAAGAAACCCCAUACAUAUGGUGAUUAGUAAGAUACGUAUGUGGUCAUUCAGAUUUAUAUACAUUUGGUUUUCCUUCAUGGUUCCAGGCUCACAGCUCCCAAAACCCUUGGAAUUUCGUAAGUGUAGAAAAUGAUAAAGAUGUCUUUUGAUGAUGUGAACAAGGCAACCUUCAGAAGCACCUACAGUGCAAGGAGAACCAACCAAGCAAUUUGAGGGGUGGGACGUUCAGUCCCACCCCCACCUCCAGGGAUGAGGAGAGGGGCCGCAAGUUGAAUCUAUCACCACUGGCCAAUGAUUCAGUCAUUUAUGACUAUGUAAAGAAGCCUCCAGGAGCUCCCUGGUGGCCCAGCAGUUAAGGAUUAGGCAUUGUCACUGCUGUAGCUUGGGUCUGAGGGUUUGAUCCCUGGCCCAGGAACUUGUUUGUACCUAGAGCACAAUCAAAAAAAAAAAAGGGAGACACCUCCAUAAAAACCCCUAAGAGCAUCUUUCAGGCCUCUAUUUUGAGAGCUUGCACGUCAGGGAACCAGAACUCUUCCAAGUGCCACCAUGUGGGCCCCCAAGCUCCCUGAGGACAGAUGCUCCCUUGUUCAGGAACUCCUUCUAUGUAUCUCUUUAUCUGACUCAGCACCCUUAAAAUCUUUUCAUAACAAAUCAGUAAUCUAGCCAGUAAAAGAGUUUUCCUGAGUUUUGUGAGUGGUUCUGGCAAAUUCAUCAAACCUGAGGAUUUGGCGAGGAGGGUUAGGUCAAGACAGGGGGGCAGUCACAGGAACCUUUGAUUCAUAGCCAGGCAGUAAGAAGAACAGGGAACAACCUGGACUUGCGACCCACUUCUGACAUGAAGGGUGCGUCUUGUGGGACUGAGCCCCUGUGGAAUCUGGAAUCUGAUUCUAUCUCCAAGUAGACAGCAUCAGAAUUGAGUUGGAGUUCCCUUCGUGGCUCAGUGGUUAACAAACCUGACUAGGAUCCAUGAGGAUGCAGGUUCGAUCCCUGGCCUCGAUCAGUGGGUUGAGGAUCCAGCCUUGCUGUGAGCUGUGGUGUAGGUGGCAGACGUGGCCUGGAUCUGGCGAUGCUGUGGCCAGCAGCUGCAGGUCCGAUUUGAUCCCUAGUCUGGGAACUUCCAUAUGUCAAGGAUGCGGCCCUAAAAAGCAAAAAAAAAAAAGA
rnacentral:lncRNA from 1 species